AAAUUAAUGAGCCAAUAUUGAGACAUUAUUAUUACUAAAGUCCAUGCUUUAUGCAGAUUUUCUUAGUUUUUACCUGCUGUCAUUUUUCAGUUCCAGGAAUGCAUUCAGGAUGCCAUACCACAUUUAGUUCUCAUAUCUGCUUAGGCUCCUCUUGGCUAGACUGAGUUUUAAUCUACUUUCUGCAGAGCCUGAGAACUUUAGCAUAAUUUCCUUGAAAUUACAGCUCAAUAUUUUCAAGCACUUAUACAAACAGCCUAAUGUUACGUUGGCCCAUAACAGUGUUUCAAGGUAAUAAACUUCUUUGUUUUCUGUGCCGAUUGAAAGAACUGCUGCUUAGCCUCCUGCCAGAUGAUGAACUGGGUACACACGAGCAUUUUUCCAGCAAGAAGAGUUGGCCCUUUGUAUCUGUGGUUUCUGCAUCCCUGGAUUCAACCAACUGUAGAUGGAAAAUAUUUGAAGAAAAAAGCGUCUAUACUGACACCCACAGAUCUCACCAAGAACCUAGCUGAAGCCUGUAGAAUGAAUAGGACUUGCACUUCUACUAUGCCUAGGCUGAAGAAAAUGGCUCAGGAAGAUGAACAAUCUCACAGAGCCCUAACUAACUGAAGCCAGGUGUUAUAAAGCACAAGUCAAGAGGGCUGGCUUCUUCCCUCAGCCUCGUCCGACCCCAGCCUGGGUUCAAUGAACAUUCGGUAAAGGAACACGGAAUGUCAAGCGCAUUAGAGACAACCUUGAGACACAUUCCUCUUGCGGAUCGAGGCCAUCAAGCUACAGAUGAUCUUACAAAUGUAACCCCAAAUGAGCUCAACUAACAACUUCUGCUGAGGACCCCUGGACCGACCCGCUGGCCCUUUCAAUGGCCUAAAGAGCUCCCCUCUGGAGGACACUACCACUGCAGGGCCCCUUCUUCACCCCUAUCCAGCAGGAAGUAGCUACAGCGGUCAUCGCCAAAUCCCAACAGCAGCUGGGGUGUCCUGUUUGGAGGGGGGAUUGAGAGGUGAAGCCAGCUGGGCUUCUGGGUCAGGUGGGGACUUGGAGAACUUUUGUGUCUAGCUAAAGGAUUGUAAAUGCACCAAUCAGCACUCUGUGUCUAGCUAAAGGAUUGUAAAUGCACCAAUCAGCACUCUGUAAAAUGGACCAAUCAGCAGGAUGUGGGCGGGGUCAAAUAAGGGAGUAAAAACUGGCCACCCGAGCCAGCAGUGGCAACCCACUCGGGUCCCCUUCCACACUGUGGAAGCUUUGUUCUUUUGCUCUUCACAAUAAAUCUUGCUGCUG
rnacentral:lncRNA from 1 species